GAUGAACGCUGGCGGCGUGCCUAAUACAUGCAAGUCGAACGCUGGAAAUCUAGCUUGCUAGAUUGAAGGAGUGGCGAACGGGUGAGUAAUACAUAAGCAACCUACCCACGAAGACUGGGAUAAUCUCUGGAAACGGGGACUAAUACCGGAUAGGUAAUCGGAAGGCAUCUUCUGAUUAUUAAAGGUUAAAAACACUGGUGGAUGGGCUUAUGGCGCAUUAGUUAGUUGGUGAGGUAACGGCCCACCAAGACGAUGAUGCGUAGCCGGCCUGAGAGGGUGAACGGCCACAUUGGGACUGAGACACGGCCCAGACUCCUACGGGAGGCAGCGGUAGGGAAUUUUCGGCAAUGGGGGAAACCCUGACCGAGCAACGCCGCGUGAGUGAUGACGGCCUUCGGGUUGUAAAGCUCUGUUGUAAGGGAAGAACGGUAGAUAGAGAAUAUCUAAAUGACGGUACCUUACCAGAAAGCCACGGCUAACUACGUG
rnacentral:rRNA from 1 species